CAGGAACCCCUCGGGGGGGAACAGCCCUUCCCUGAGGGCUGCCCUGCCCCGGCAGGCACUCCCAGCCCAAGACAGGGAAGGAACAGGGUGAACCCCAUCUCUGUACUGAGGCUUUACAGAAAUUCAGUUUCUGGGGGGAUUUCUCCAAACGAGUGGAUCUCAAAUGCUGCUCUCAACCUCUCUGGAUGGUGGAACCCUAAAUCUCCUGGGAUGUUGCAUUUCUGAAUUGCUGUGUGCACACUCUUGACUUUCUGAGUCAUCCUCAGUCCUAAAGCCAGACUGAAUUCUCCUGAGCUUUCC
rnacentral:lncRNA from 12 species